rnacentral:rRNA from 1 species
UACGAAGGGGGCUAGCGUUGUUCGGAUUAACUGGGCGUAAAGGGUGCGUAGGCGGGGUUUUAAGUCAGGGGUGAAAUGCCGAGGCUCAACUUCGGAACUGCCUUUGAUACUGGAACUCUUGAGUCUGGGAGAGGUGAGUGGAACUGCGAGUGUAGAGGUGAAAUUCGUAGAUAUUCGCAAGAACACCGGUGGCGAAGGCGGCGACCUGGUCCAUUACUGACGCUGAGGCGCGACAGCGUGGGGGAGCAAACAGG